GUACUCUCACACUCCUGAUGCUUUUUGGAUCGCGAGUGGUGGACUUGGGUGUUGCUGCUUUACUGUGGCUCACCUCAAAUGGAGUAGUGCAACUCUUGGUUGGACAUAGUACGGCGUGAUAAGUGUCUUCGCCGGCGCCUCAUUAGAGGGUGGCUGAUCGGGAGCUCUGUGCUUCAAACCGUCUUCGGACAACAUCUGACA
rnacentral:misc_RNA from 1 species